rnacentral:rRNA from 1 species
AAGGGGUAAGUAGAGUGGCAAACGGGUGAGUAACACGUGGGUGGCCUGCCUUCGAGUGGAGGAUAACGUCCCGAAAGGGACGCUAAUACCGCAUAACAUCCUGCCUUUUAAGAGGUGGACAUCAAAGCUGGGGAUCGCAAGACCUAGCGCUUGACGAGGGGCCCGCGCCUGAUUAGCUAGUUGGUGGGGUAAUGGCUCACCAAGGCAACGAUCAGUAUCCGGCCUGAGAGGGCGGACGGACACACUGGGACUGAGACACGGCCCAGACUCCUACGGGAGGCAGCAGUGGGGAAUUGUUCGCAAUGGGCGCAAGCCUGACGACGCAACGCCGCGUGGAGGAUGAAGACCUUCGGGUCGUAAACUCCUUUCGAUCGAGACGAAUGGCCUCCGGGUGAACA